UAGGGAAUCUUCCACAAUGGACGCAAGUCUGAUGAGCAACGCCGCGUGAGUGAAGAAGGUUUUCGGACCGUAAAGCUCUGUUGUUGGUGAAGAAGGAUAGAGGUAGUAACUGGCCUUUAUUUGACGGUAAUCAACCAGAAAGUCACGGCUAACUACGUGCCAGCAGCCGCGGUAAUACGUAGGUGGCAAGCGUUGUCCGGAUUUAUUGGGCGUAAAGCGAGCGCAGGCGGAAGAAUAAGUCUGAUGUGAAAGCCCUCGGCUUAACCGAGGAAUUGCAUCGGAAACUGUUUUCUUGAGUGCAGAAGAGGAGAGUAGAACUCCAUGUGUAGCGGUGGAAUGCGUAGAUAUAUGGAGGAAUACCAGUGGCGAAGGCGGCUCUCGU
rnacentral:rRNA from 1 species